UGGGGAAUAUUGCGCAAUGGGGGAAACCCUGACGCAGCAAUGCCGCGUGAGUGAAGAAGGCCCUAGGGUUGUAAAGCUCUUUCAGAUGGGAAGAUGAUGACUGUACCAUCAGAAGAAGCCCCGGCUAACUUCGUGCCAGCAGCCGCGGUAAUACGAAGGGGGCUAGCGUUGUUCGGAAUCACUGGGCGUAAAGCGUACGCAGGCGGAUAUUUAAGUCAGAAGUGAAAGCCCAGGGCUCAACCUUGGAAUUGCUUUUGAUACUGAAUAUCUAGAAUCCGGGAGAGGAGUGUGGAAUUCCUAGUGUAGAGGUGAAAUUCGUAGAUAUUAGGAGGAACACCAGUGGCGAAAGCGACACUCUGGAACGUGAUUGACGCUCAUGUACGAAAGCGUGGGGAGCAAACAGGAUUAGAUACCCCCGUAGUCC
rnacentral:rRNA from 1 species